UGAUUAAUUAGUUUAUAAAAAUACUAAUUUGUGGAAUUAGAGAAUCUUUAAUCAU
rnacentral:tRNA from 1 species